rnacentral:rRNA from 1 species
UUGGGGUUGCGGACAUAUCAUAACGAAGAGGUAUCGUAAUUGAAGAGGUUUGGAAAGACCCACCACAGAAGGUAAUAGUCCUGUAUGUUAAACGAGAAGACUUCAGAUAUGAUCCAGAGUACCACGGGACACGUGAAACCCUGUGGGAAGCAGGAGGGACCACCCUCCAAGGCUAAAUACUACCUAGUGACCGAUAGCGUAUAGUACCGUGAGGGAAAGGUGAAAAGAACCCCGGGAGGGGAGUGAAAUAGAACCUGAAACCCUGCACUUACAAGCUGUGGAAGCACAUUUCUUGUGUGACCGCGUACUUUUUGUAGAACGGGCCAACGAGUUACGUUAAGUAGCAAGGUUAAGCACUUAAGGUGCGGAGCCGUAGCGAAAGCGAGUUUUAACUGAGCGUUCAGUUACUUGACGUAGACCCGAAACCGGGCGACCUACCCAUGAGCAGGAUGAAGCGAAAGUAAAAUUUCGUGGAGGUCCGAACCCACGAGCGUUGAAAAGCUCGGGGAUGACUUGUGGGUAGCGGUGAAAUUCCAAUCGAGCCCGGAGAUAGCUGGUUCUCCCCGAAAUAGCUUUAGGGCUAGCCUCAAGGUGAGAGAUACGGAGGUAGAGCACUGAAUGUCCUAGGGGGUAUUGCACCUACCGAAGACUAUCAAACUCCGAAUGCCGUCAUCUUAUACUUGGGAGUCAGACUGUGGGUGAUAAGAUUCAUAGUCGAAAGGGCAACAGCCCAGAUCGUCAGCUAAGGUCCCUAAAUGUAAGUUAAGUGGUAAAGGAUGUGGGAUUGCACAGACAACCAGGAUGUUGGCUUAGAAGCAGCCACUCAUUCAAAGAGUGCGUAAUAGCUCACUGGUCGAGUGAUCCUGCGCCGAAGAUUUCCGGGGCUAAAACUUACUACCGAAGCUACGGCAUCAGUAAUGAUGGGUAGGGGAGCUUCCCAUACGGGUUGAAGCAUGACCGUAAGGACAUGUGGACAGUAUGGGAGUGAGAAUGUUGGCAUGAGUAGCGAGAUGUGGGUGAGAAUCCCACAGGCCGUAAACCCAAGGUUUCCAGGGGAAGGUUCGUCCGCCCUGGGUUAGUCGGGACCUAAGCUGAGGCCGAAAGGCGUAGGUGAUGGACAACAGGUUGAUAUUCCUGUACUACCGAUAACCGUUUGAGAGAAGGGAUGACACAGUAGGAUAAGCUAAGCACACUGUUGGUUAUGUGUGCCCAAGCAUUGAGGCAGUCAAAGUAGGCAAAUCCGCUUUGAUAAUGCUGGGAUGUGAUGGGGAGCGAAAUUUAGUAGCGAAGUAGCUGAUUUCACACUGUCAAGAAAAGUCUCUAUCGAGGUUAAAGGUACCCGUACCGCAAACCGACACAGGUGGGUGAGGAGAGUAUCCUAAGGCCAGCGAGAGAACUGUUGUUAAGGAACUCGGCAAAAUGACCCCGUAACUUAGGGAUAAGGGGUGCCACCAUCAGGUGGCCGCAGAGAAUAGGCCCAAGCGACUGUUUACCAAAAACAUAGGUUUCUGCUAAGUCGCAAGACGAUGUAUAGGAGCUGACGCCUGCCCGGUGCUGGAAGGUUAAGGGGAUCUGUUAGAGCAAUCGAAGCAGUGAACUUAAGCCCCAGUAAACGGCGGCCGUAACUAUAACGGUCCUAAGGUAGCGAAAUUCCUUGUCGGGUAAGUUCCGACCCGCACGAAAGGCGUAACGAUUUGGGCACUGUCUCAACAACAGACUCGGUGAAAUUGUAAUUCCGGUGAAGAUGCCGGAUACCUGCGACAGGACGGAAAGACCCCAUGGAGCUUUACUGUAGCUUGACAUUGGGUCUUGGUACUACAUGUACAGGAUAGGUGGGAGGCUUUGAAACCAGGACGCCAGUUUUGGCGGAGCCAUCCUUGGGAUACCACCCUUGUAGUACUGGGACUCUAACCAUAGGCCAUGAAUCUGGUCUUGGGACACUGUCA